GUGCCAGCCGCUGCGGUAAUACGGAGGGUGCAAGCGUUACUCGGAAUCACUGGGCGUAAAGAGCGUGUAGGCGGAUAAAUAAGUUUGAAGUGAAAUCCUAUAGCUUAACUAUAGAACUGCUUUGAAAACUGUUAAUCUAGAAUGUGGGAGAGGUAGAUGGAAUUUCUGGUGUAGGGGUAAAAUCCGUAGAGAUCAGAAGGAAUACCGAUUGCGAAGGCGAUCUACUGGAACAAUAUUGACGCUGAGACGCGAAAGCGUGGGAGCAAACAGGAUUAGAUACCCUGGUAGUCCACGCCCUAACGAUGUACACUAGUUGUUGUGAGGCUCGACCUUGCAGUAAUGCAGUUACACAUUAAGUGUACCCGCUGGGGA
rnacentral:rRNA from 1 species